rnacentral:rRNA from 1 species
AUGCAAGUCGAGCGGCCGUAGCAAUACGGCAGCGGCAGACGGGAGAGUAACACGUGGGAACGCGCCCUUCGGUUCGGGAUAACUCAGGGAAACUUGGGCUAAUACCGGAUACGCCCUUACGGGGAAAGAUUUAUUGCCGAAGGAACGGCCCGCGUCCGAUUAGCUUGUUGGUGAGGUAACGGCUCACCAAGGCGACGAUCGGUAGCUGGUCUGAGAGGAUGACCAGCCUCACUGGGACUGAGACACGGCCCAGACUCCUACGGGAGGCAGCAGUGGGGAAUAUUGGACAAUGGGCGCAAGCCUGAUCCAGCCAUGCCGCGUGGGUGAUGAAGGCCCUAGGGUUGUAAAGCCCUUUCGGCGGGGAAGAUAAUGACGGUACCCGCAGAAGAAGCCCCGGCUAACUUCGUGCCAGCAGCCGCGGUAAUACGAAGGGGGCUAGCGUUGCUCGGAAUUACUGGGCGUAAAGCGCACGUAGGCGGCUUCUUAAGUCGGUGGUGAAAUCCUGGAGCUCAACUCCAGAACUGCCUUCGAUACUGGGAAGCUCGAGUCCGGGAGAGGUGAGUGGAACUGCGAGUGUAGAGGUGAAAUUCGUAGAUAUUCGCAAGAACACCAGUGGCGAAGGCGGCUCACUGGCC